UACGUAGGGUGCAAGCGUUGUCCGGAAUUAUUGGGCGUAAAGAGCUCGUAGGCGGCUUGUCGCGUCGGCUGUGAAAACCCGCGGCUCAACUGCGGGUCUGCAGUCGAUACGGGCAGGCUAGAGUUCGGUAGGGGAGACUGGAAUUCCUGGUGUAGCGGUGAAAUGCGCAGAUAUCAGGAGGAACACCGGUGGCGAAGGCGGGUCUCUGGGCCGAUACUGACGCUGAGGAGCGAAAGCGUGGGGAGCGAGCAGG
rnacentral:rRNA from 1 species